UAGCUCAGUGGUUUGAGCGCAGUGCUGACAACAAUGACAACAUCAAGGACGUGGGUUCGAUUCCCGC
rnacentral:tRNA from 1 species